rnacentral:lncRNA from 1 species
CUACAGCUGCGGUUGAAGAUGGUAAGUCUCGUUUUCGCUUCCUGACUUCAUCCAUGGCAUCGACGGUCUUGUGACGGGUACAUGUUGUUCCCGGUGUCUUCGUUUUAUGAAAAAUGAUGCAAUGCAGCCCUCGAAACCAUCUGCGAGUGCAAGUCCUGAGAUUAUUUAUAUAAUGUAAUUUGCCUGCUUGCUUUUGUGCUGCUGUUUUUAUGGGAGAAUGUGGUAUGUUCCUUCCUCCCAGAGUAUGGUGAGAGGAGAAGAAAGACAUCUCUAAAGCUAUUUAGGAAAGCAAUGCUUUUAGAUGUAGACAUGGAUGGUAAUCGCAACUGUCAUCACUCACUCUGUAGGUUUGCUUAACAAUGGAGAUUUCGAGACAGUAGGUGCCGUCUCAACCGGUGGCAAGGGUGACGGAAUCACCUCCUUCCCUGGCUGGACUGUCAAUGGGACGGUGGAGCUCGUCGAAUCUGGUCAAAAGCAAGGCGGCAU